UACGUAGGUGGCAAGCGUUGUCCGGAUUUAUUGGGUUUAAAGGGUGCGUAGGCGGUCCUAUAAGUCAGUUGUGAAAUACGGCAGCUUAACUGUCGAGGUGCAAUUGAUACUGCAGGACUUGAGUACAGACGAGGUGGGCGGAAUUGACGGUGUAGCGGUGAAAUGCUUAGAUAUCGUCAAGAACACCGAUAGCGAAGGCAGCUUACUAGACUGUAACUGACGCUGAGGCACGAAAGUGUGGGGAUCAAACAGG
rnacentral:rRNA from 1 species